rnacentral:ncRNA from 1 species
UAAGUCGAAGUUAGGCAGGACUGCUCACUGAGUGUGAGCAUAUCAAUAAAUGAAAGAAAAGAAACUUACAAUGAUUCCCUUAGUAAUGAUGACUGAAUUGGAAACAUCUCGAAUUGAGAAUUGAUCAUCUUCUUAGUUUGAAUUUUAGUUUAGAGAUGCAUCCUUAAUGGCAAACCAAUCACAAAUCCCUGGAAGUGGGUGAUAGAGAGGGUGAUACGCCUGUUGUGCUCAAACCUUGUCACACCACAAGGUGUUAUCUGUGACUCGAGUUUGGGAAUGUAGUCCUAAUUGGUCAGUAAAUUCUACCCAAUGAUAACUAUGAGUGAUAAACCAAUAAAAAAACAAAUACAACGAGGAAAAAAUGAAAAGAACUUUGAAAACAGAGUAAAAUAAUACUUUAAAUUAUCGGGAGGGAAGCAUAUGGGGGUCAAUGAUGUGGCCUAGUUGAAUGUAGAGUAGUGAUGAGUCGGUCUGUCAAUUGAUUUGUGGCAUGGACCAAUGCGGAUUGAGAUGAUAGUCUAAACUCAAGUCUUUUUAUGCUUGUAGAGACAUUAUCAUCCCCAUUGUGGAUGGCAACACAUGAUUUCAGGCAGGCUUUAGCUUCAAUGCAUUCUUCUGGCAUUGAUAUGUGGGCUUUCUAUUCAACCCAUUAUGAAACACUGACUAAGCAGUCUGACGUACGUGCAAGUGAACAUGCGAGUAAACCCGUAAGAAAGCUAAUUAUUAGUGGUAACCUCUAGUAGGUUGCAUUACAGAUUGACCUUGAUCUUUUGGAAGUGUUUAAGAGUUAGCAUGCCUGUCGGGAUCUAAAAGAUGGUGAACUAUGUCUAUAUGGGACGAAGCCAGAGGAAACUUUGAUGGACGCUCAUAAUGAUACUGAUGUGCAAAUCGUUUGUGAAACCUCAAAUUUUUAUGAUCUUUGGACUUGUUAAACUUUGGUAAAGAAAAGAGAAAAUGAGAUUAAUAGAAAAAGAAAGAAAUUUAUCUUGGAAAAUUGGUUCAAGAUUAAGUAAUAAGCAAGAAAGGGAAAAGUUGAGGAAAUGGUUAAAUAUUAUUGGGAAAAGGGAAAUUUUGGCUAAGUAUUGAGGACUUGUGUAUUAGGCGUGGAGAAGUUAUUUGAUUAGGAUAGAAGGUUGAUCUCGGGGCUGUGGCAAACUGAGAUGAAAAACAAAAAGGUUUUAGAGAAGGAUCUCGGGCAAUCACGUGGAUUCCCAGGUAAGAUAGAAGACAUAAGUGUAAUCUCGAGACAAAUCUUGGUGCUUGUUUGGUCGAGAUUUAAAGAAAAGAGAAAAUUAUAGAGAGUUUUUGGGCAAUAUCGGGGCCGAGUUCGAUUGAAAUUAGAUGUAAAGAAGAAAGUCUAAGGACAUCUCCGAUCCCUCUCGGUGUUGGUUUGUCCGAGAUGAAAAGAAGAAAAGGAAAUUAAAGGGAUCUCGGGCCAUCUUGGACAGAGUCCGACAAAGAUUGUAGGUUAAAGAAUAAAUUUGAAAGAUCUCUAGGCUAUCUUAGGGCUGUGUCGACUGAGACUGGAAGACAUGAAGGAUCUCGGGUUGAUCUCGAACUAAUUCUAGCCGAGAGCAUUAUAAUUAAAUUGUUCAGUGGAGUUGAACAGUUUAAUGUAACACGAUCAUCAAAUGUGGUGACAUGAAAGACAUGGAAAUGCCUAUAAAAUAGAAAACAAUAUACCAUGGAUGCCAAUUACAGAUAAUGUAUAUAUAAAGGAAUGGAUGUCAAUAGUUAAUGCUCCAUUAAAGACCCAUAUGAAAUAAAUAUUUCAAUAUCAAUGUGAUGCGUGGAGUAGACAACACAAGGGAAUCAAAAUAUGGCAAAGUAUAUAAGAGUAGAGAGAGACAACAGAGGUCAUAAAGAAACAUCAUAGGUCAGUAGCCAUCUGUGACCCUCCAACCCUAUUACCCAUCAGUUCGAUUUUCAACAAAAAGAAAAUCAACAUGGCCAAUGUAUAUAAAAUGCACAGAACCCUCCAACAGUAGUACAAAUCAGUGAAGUUAAAUUCAACACAAAAAAAUUCAACAUGGCUGAUUUAUAUAAAAUGCAUUGAAAGGGAGAUAAAUAACAGAUCACCAAGGAAAAUGAUUUUGAAAUAAGACGACUUUCAUAAAAAACUCUCAAACAUAUUCCACCCAUUUAAAAAAACACAGUAAGAACACAAAAAUUGGUUAAAAACAAGAACACCUCACAAAACAUAACAAGCAAAGAAUGUGAAUGCAAGAAUGUAAUCAGUGUAUCAACCUCAUCAUCGGCUUUAAAAAAAAAGGAAGAAAUCGUUACCUUAAUCCCUAACUUGCUUGGAACAACCAAAGCCACAAUCGAGGUAGUAUUCUUCGCUCAUUAAUAGAGGGAAAUCGGAGUGUCAAGGGGGUAAUCGGAGCGGCAAGGGAAAGACCAAGCAUGAAUAGGAGCUCCGAGCAGCAAGUCUAGAAGACAAGCCAUGGAAGGAACCAAAAAGCCCAAUCAACCAAAACCCAACCAACGGAAAGGCUUCGGAGGUCCCAAAUUUUUUGAAAUUGGGCCAAUCAAUGAAACCCAUAAACACAGUGGAAGAUGGAGACCGAAGGAGAAGAUAAAUUGAUGAAAUCUAUACCGUAGAGAAGAAGACGGUGAACGGUGGAGAAAAACCUAAAGCGGCCGAAGGGGGUAAACAUGACGGAGAUGAAGAUUGAUGGAGGAGAUGAGCAGUUGGAUUUGAAGGACUUCGUGAUGGAAAAGAGGGAAAACCUUGCUCUGUUAUCGAGAAAAAGAAGGAGAUUGAGAGGAAGGUUGUUGAUUGGCGGCCAAAUGGAGAAGGAAGGUGGAAGAUGGACGGUACAACGAAGGGAAAGGAAGGAUAAACCACUAAUUGGGAAAAAGAGAGAGAAGGAAUAAGGAAAGAUUGAGAUAGGUUAAGGGGAAGAAAGAGAAGGAAUAUGAAGGAAUAGGGGGAGAAUAACCUUAUUCCUUUCUUCCCUGAUCCUGGUCCCAAACAUGUAAAGAACUAUUUUAGUCCUUUCCUUUCCCUCCCCAGAAAGCCCUUUAAGCCUCCUAUUAAUUAGCUCACAAGUGAUUUAUCUUAAAAAUAAAGUCAUACUUAUACCUAUUUAACUCACUUACUGUGUAUCUAAAUGGGAAAAAAAACUCACCGUGAGUAUUCACAUAUAUAGUUUUUUUCUAAUUAAAAAACCCACACUUUGCUCUUACCUAAUUAACUUUAUAGUUCUCAUUCCUGUUUAGCCAUCAAAUAGAAAAGACUCCCUGCUCCCUUCCCCGUUCCCUCCCUCGUUCCAUCAUCUAACGAAGGAUUUCUAGCAUGUUAAAUGGACAUCUCUACAGCGGAUGAGUUCUAUUGGGUAAAGCUUAUGAUUAGAGGCAUCAAUGCCUCAUUUCCCUCAACCUAUGCUCAUACUUUAAACAAGUGGGAUAACACGAUUGGUUUAUUGAACUGUGCCUCGGAAUCAAGAACUUUAAGUGGGCUAUUUUUUAAUAAGUAGAGCUUGUGAUUCGAGAUGAAUUACUAGAAAUCGGGUUAUAGUACCUAAUUACACUCUAAACUAUAUCCUCAAAGGAUGUUGGUCAUUUAAGGUACCAGGACGAUGGUCAUGAAGUUAAAAUCUGCUGACAAAUGUGUAAGAACUCAUUUAUCAAACUAACUAGCCCUGUAAAUACAUGGCAAUGAAUCGUGUGACCUAUACCCGACUGUUGAGGCAAGAGUCAGGUGCUAAUGAGUACAAGGGUGAGGUGGUUGUUGAAAGAACUUGGUUUCAAGCAAUUUUCAAUGUAGAUCUUCAUGAUGGUAACAAAUAUCCAAAUGAGAACUUUGAAAGAUGAAGAGGAAAAAGAUUCAAUGUGAAUGACACUUCCACAUAGGUUAGUAGACCUUAAGAGACAGGGGAGACAAGGGAAUGUGACAACAUGAAAUUUGAAAGGGAAUCAAGUUAAAAUUCUUGAAUCGAGACAAGGCGACUGGCGACAAUGAAAGGGAUUCCAGAAAUGGUUGAAGUAUCACACACGAAUCGAGGAUGGAAUUACAAAUGACAGUGGGAAAAUUAGAAAGAAAACUUCCAUUCUUUAAGGUUUUUAGUUGUUUAGGAUCAAUCCAUGGUCCGAUCGAGU